UACAGAGGUCUCAAGCGUUGUUCGGAUUCAUUGGGCGUAAAGGGUGCGUAGGCGGCGCGGUAAGUCGGGUGUGAAAUCUCGGAGCUUAACUCCGAAACUGCAUUCGAUACUGCCGUGCUUGAGGACUGGAGAGGAGACUGGAAUUUACGGUGUAGCGGUGAAAUGCGUAGAUAUCGUAAGGAAGACCAGUGGCGCAGGCCGGUCUCUGGACAGUUCCUGACGCUGAGGCACGAAGGUCAGGGGAGCAAACGGG
rnacentral:rRNA from 1 species